GGAUCUAUGCCUGAAACAAAGGGCCACUUUGAUAGAGUGGAUCAUGGGGGUUAAACUCCCCCUAGCUCCU
rnacentral:tRNA from 1 species